rnacentral:rRNA from 1 species
AUUGAACGCUGUCGGCAGGCCUAACACAUGCAAAUCGAGCGAGCUGCGGACGGGUGAGUAAUGUCUGGGAAACUGCCCGCUGGUGGGGGAUAACUACUGGAAACGGGAGCUAAUACCGCAUACCAUCAGAUGUUCCCAGAUGGGAUUGGCUAGUAGGUGGGGUAACGGCUCACCUAGGCGACGAUCCCUAGCUUGUCUGAGAGGAUGACCAGCCACACUGGAACUGUGAAACGGUCCAGAGUCCUACGGGAGGCAGAAGUGGGGAAUAUUGCACAGUGGGCGCAAGCCUGAUGCAGCCAUGCCGCGUGUUUGAGGAAGGCCUUCGGGUUGUAAAGCACUUGCAGCGGGGAGGCGUUACCCGCAGAAGAAGCACCGGCUAACUCCGUGCCAGCAGCCGCGGUAAUAC